UAUUUAUCUUUGUAUAGUAUACAAUCAAGUAAUCAAUCAAUGUGCCUGAGUAAACAUAGAUAUUAAAACAAACUAUUCUAAAAAAUCUACCUGCAUUGAAUGGAAACAUUUCUUGAAUCAAAUGUCUUGUUCAGUUGUGCUGAAAUGUAGGUUUGAUUGAAUUUAUUUGACAGUCUGUAAAAUCCAUACAUAAGGGAGCUCCAGCUGGUGACGCCUCCACAGACAAUUGAAGGAAAUCAUCAAGGAUAACACAAUACAUCUUAACAGCUUAUUUCCAUUGUGGUCCUUCUGAAGAGGGAAAGUGUAGCCUAAUGAACCUAAUGACUGGUUCUGCGAAUCUGUAAAGAACACAAACCUGUUCUUUGAAUGUCCUGGAUGGGAGACCAGAUGCUGCAGCAAAAACACUGACACCAGUAUCUAACAGUGGUGUGGUUGUGUGGUACGGGGGAAGCAUCCACUUCCUUUCACAGUAGAGGAAGUAAAAAUGACACAAGCAAACAUGAACCCAGUGUUGUUGUGUGUUUCUUUAACCCUGAAUGGUCAAUGAUAAAGUCGAUCUAGAAUAGAACAGACAAGAUAUUCAUCUGCUGAAUUGUUGCUCCUAAAAAUCAUUAUUUAAUAACUGUUGUGUUGAAUGUCACUGCUCACUCAGAUUACACUCACCUUGUGGUCAGUUUGAGUGCAUGAGUCAUGCAUGUUAUCAUUCUCUUGUUCUUCCUAAUAAAAUGUGCAUUUGUUCA